UACUUUCUUUAAAAAGUUUUAUAAAAAAAAGUUUUAUCAUGGAACAUUUCAAACAUGUACCAAAGUAAACAGAAUAGAAUAGAGAACCCCCAUGUAUCUAUCACCCAGCUGCAGUAAUUCUCACUCUUUUCCAAUCUUGUUUUCUCCUCCCUCAUUUAUUUGCAUGCCUGUAAUUCUAGCUACUCGGGAGGCUGAGGUGGGAGGAUUGCUUGAACUGGGAGGCAGAGGUUGCAAUGAGCCGAGAUCGCACCACUGCACACUCCAGCCUGGGCGACUCUGUCUCAAAAAAAAAAAGAGGCUUUCAAUUUCCCCCUAUUCAGUAGCAUGUUAACUGUGGGUUUGUCAUAUAUGAUCUUUAUUAUUCUGAAGUGUGUUUUCUCUAUAUCCAGUAUGUUGAGUUUGUUUGUUUGUUUAUUUUUUGAGACAAGGUCUGUUUCUAUUGCCCAGAUUGGAGUGUAGUGGGCUCACUGCAACCUCAGCCUCCCAGGUUCAAGUCAUCCUCCCAUCUCAGUCUCCUGAGUAGCUGGGAUUACAGGUGCAUGUUCACCACCAUGCCUGGCUAACUUUUUUUGUAUUUUUUGUAGAUGGGGUUUCUCUGUGUUGCCCAAGCUGGUCUCGAACUCGUGAGCUCAAGCGAUCUGCUAG
rnacentral:lncRNA from 1 species